AACACCCUCUUUAGCAAAAUGUAUUUCAGUCUGUUGCAUUUGACAGUAAGAAGUGUUUUCUUAAUGGUCAAGUCUAUAAGCUGGAUCAGUGUAGGUGACACUGUAUCGCUGAAGCUUCCGGCUCAGACCUUUGCUUCUCAGCGUGCGUGGUUUCAGGGGCUCCAUGGAGACAAAAUGGACACAUCUCUUUCUUGGUGGAUGGGGGACCCGGGCAGGGAAGGAAGAAAAGAGUGCGGGAAGCCCCACAGCACUCUCUGUCCAGAGCACAAGGAACCUCUGCCUUCCUGCACCCCAAGUUCUUCCGGCUGUAAGAAUCUAUCAAACCGAUAGCUCAGUAUUAAAAGAAUCAGAACCGUGGCUCCAUUCUAAUAAAGCUUAAUUUAUAUGCAUGUUUGGUUUCAUUUUCUCAGCUCCUUUCCUCCUUGGUCUCUCUGUCUGCACUUCAGCCCCACCCCCCGCACCGCUUCUCUUUGUCUUCGUGGUCGUUGGGUUGAUUUCCACCAGCUGUGGAUUAACCCACUCCCUUGGACUCCUAAUUACCCACUUCUCCCGUCUUCCAGACCAGGCCUCUCAGGGUUCUCGUUCGAGGGCAAGAGCUGGAUGCCCUGUCCUGGGGAGGAGGUCGCAGCUGUGUCGCCAGUGUCUGCAGACAGACCCAUGGACGUUUUCAUCCUUGUGGUUUCAUCGCACAAAAGGUUCUCACUCAAAUGUGGCAUGACGUGUGAACAGACGAAAGAUUAAAAUCACCGAGGAAAUCGCUCCGUCUGAGCCCAGAUCACGACGCCUUUCAGUGACCCAGCGACCCAAAUGCUAUCUGUCAACUUGUCCUUCCAGAGACUUUUCACCCCAUGCUCUGCGGCUGCUACUCCAGGAAAAAAAAAAA